UGGAAGUAAAAAGUCGUAACAAGGUCUCCGUUGGUGAACCAGCGGAGGGAUCAUUACUGAGUUUACGCUCUACAACCCUUUGUGAACAUACCUAUAACUGUUGCUUCGGCGGGUAGGGUCUCCGUGACCCUCCCGGCCUCCCGCCCCCGGGCGGGUCGGCGCCCGCCGGAGGAUAACCAAACUCUGAUUUAACGACGUUUCUUCUGAGUGGUACAAGCAAAUAAUCAAAACUUUUAACAACGGAUCUCUUGGUUCUGGCAUCGAUGAAGAACGCAGCGAAAUGCGAUAAGUAAUGUGAAUUGCAGAAUUCAGUGAAUCAUCGAAUCUUUGAACGCACAUUGCGCCCGCCAGCAUUCUGGCGGGCAUGCCUGUUCGAGCGUCAUUUCAACCCUCAAGCUCUGCUUGGUGUUGGGGCCCUACAGCUGAUGUAGGCCCUCAAAGGUAGUGGCGGACCCUCCCGGAGCCUCCUUUGCGUAGUAACUUUACGUCUCGCACUGGGAUCCGGAGGGACUCUUGCCGUAAAACCCCCAAUUUUCCAAAGGUUGACCUCG
rnacentral:rRNA from 1 species